CUACGGGACGCACCAGUGAGGAAUAUUGCACAAUGGGGGGAACCCUGAUGCAGCAACGCCGCGUGGAGGAUGACGCAUUUCGGUGUGUAAACUCCUUUUAUAUGUCAAGAAAAUGACGGUAGCAUAUGAAUAAGCACCGGCUAACUCCGUGCCAGCAGCCGCGGUGAUACGGAGGGUGCAAGCGUUACUCGGAAUCACUGGGCGUAAAGGACGCGUAGGCGGGUUGGAAAGUCAGGUGUGAAAUCCUACAGCUUAACUGUAGAACUGCACUUGAAACUUCUAAGCUAGAGUAUGGGAGGGGGAGAUGGAAUUAGUGGUGUAGGGGUAAAAUCCGUAGAUAUCACUAGGAAUACCUAAAACGAAGGCGAUCUCCUGGAACAUUACUGACGCUAAGGCGUGAAAGCGUGGGGAGCAAACAGGAUUAGAUACCCGGGUAGUC
rnacentral:rRNA from 1 species